CCAGGAGAGGAAAUGGAAGUG
rnacentral:miRNA from 12 species